UUUGUUUUGGGUGACAUAACCCUUGGAUUUGUUGAUUUAUUUGUGUGCUAGAGAACACAAAGACUUUCUUUAUUUUUGAGCAGGUAAGUGCCCUUGGCCUGUGUUUGUGCUUGUUUGUUUUAAUGGUCUGUAUGCUGUUUUUGACUGUCAUUUGUGUUCUCUUGUAGGUGCUUUGUUUUGGGUGACAUAACCCUUGGAUUUGUUGAUUUAUUUGUGUGCUAGAGAACACAAAGACUUUCUUUAUUUUUGAGCAGGUAAGUGCCCUUGGCCUGUGUUUGUGCUUGUUUGUUUUAAUGGUCUGUAUGCUGUUUUUGACUGUCAUUUGUGUUCUCUUGUAGGUGCUUUGUUUUGGGUGACAUAACCCUUGGAUUUGUUGAUUUAUUUGUGUGCUAGAGAACACAAAGACUUUCUUUAUUUUUGAGCAGGUAAGUGCCCUUGGCCUGUGUUUGUGCUUGUUUGUUUUAAUGGUCUGUAUGCUGUUUUUGACUGUCAUUUGUGUUCUCUUGUAGGUGCUUUGUUUUGGGUGACAUAACCCUUGGAUUUGUUGAUUUAUUUGUGUGCUAGAGAACACAAAGACUUUCUUUAUUUUUGAGCAGGUAAGUGCCCUUGGCCUGUGUUUGUGCUUGUUUGUUUUAAUGGUCUGUAUGCUGUUUUUGACUGUCAUUUGUGUUCUCUUGUAGGUGCUUUGUUUUGGGUGACAUAACCCUUGGAUUUGUUGAUUUAUUUGUGUGCUAGAGAACACAAAGACUUUCUUUAUUUUUGAGCAGGUAAGUGCCCUUGGCCUGUGUUUGUGCUUGUUUGUUUUAAUGGUCUGUAUGCUGUUUUUGACUGUCAUUUGUGUUCUCUUGUAGGUGCUUUGUUUUGGGUGACAUAACCCUUGGAUUUGUUGAUUUAUUUGUGUGCUAGAGAACACAAAGACUUUCUUUAUUUUUGAGCAGAAAAAAUGUACGCUCCUGCAAUCCUUUCCCUGAAUGCCAAGUUUACUGGAAGUUCACAUGAUGCAUAUGUCAUUAGACAAUCAGGGAUAUGGCAGAGAUUAAGAUCAAGUCAACGAGCAGACAUGUGGUUAUUGGGAGACCGUGGAUAUCCUUGCACCCCCUGGCUCAUGACUCCUUACCGUAAUCCCAGGCCAGGACCACAGAUGGCAUUUAACUCCGCGCUUACUGCCACUAGGCAGCUGGUGGAGCGCACAAUUGGUGUCCUUAAAGGGCGGUUUCGUGUGCUCCACCGCACUGGUGGCGACAUCAUGUAUUCGCCGGAGAUGGCAAGUAAAAUAGUGGUCCUGUGCGCAAUACUACAUAAUAUCGCGGUAAGGAGUAGUGUAGAGCUUCCUCAGGCAGAGGAAUUGCCUGAUGAGGAGCCAGGGGUUGUUCGACACUUCGGUGGGGGGAGUGUUACACGGAGGGGGAGCCAAGUCAGGGCAAGGAUUGUUGCCGAAUAUUUCAGGUAUAGUGUUUUGAUAUUUUCUUUUUAAAAAUAUUUAAAAGCACAGUAUGCUUAUGUUUUUUUAUAAAUGUUGACAUUUUGUAUGAUAUUGUAAAGUGAUUGUGUAAUGCUUUUGUUGUGUUGGAAUGUGUAAUUUUUCUUAUCGUCAAAAUCCGCAAACACGUUAAGCUUACAAUGUUUGGUUAGAAAACAAAAUACUGUAAUGUUGCUAAAUAGUGUCCUUAUUUGUUUUAUAUCCUCAAAUCAUGAUUAUGUAAACAAACACACAAACAAAUGAUACUCAAUGUUGCCCACUUUGUGACUGUCCAGCUGAAUGAUCACACAAACUGUGCUGAGUACACAUAUAUGUAUAGUAAUUUAAAAUAAACUGUGUGUCUCUGUGUCUGUUUGUUUUUUUUUGUUUUUUUUGGGUUUAUGAUAAAUAUUUGCUUCUGCUAAUGCGUAUUUCCGCUCGUGCGAAAUAACACUCUGCUCUUCACAGCAUUGCAAAGAUCAAUAAAGUUAUUAGAAAUGACAACAUAGAUUUUGGACCAAUCACAUGCUAACAGACACUAUAAAUAUAUGCCCAAAUAAGGAAAACGCCAUUGCCAUGAUGCGUGCAGCACCGUUCACCAGGCGGGAGCUCCGCGUGCUGGUUGCGGUGAUGGACCGCCGC